CCGAUAUAAACACGUUAAGAAUGGAGGUCAUUCAGAACAUUGAAAUGUUCAAAUCAUUAUGGAAAAUAUUGUGAAUUUUUUCAAAUGUAUUUUCUCAGUCAACUGAUCUCUCCCUCGAACAGGAUAUUAUCUUAACCAUCUGCCAUCCUCCUUUUCUCCUCAUUUGAGACCAAGCACGGAGACACUGAUGAAUAGUCACUGACUGACAGUAUUGCAUAGAGUGGUUCAGUGAAGGUUGAGUGAAAUGCAGGUGUGUCGUAGACUUGUUAGGACAGAAUGCCUUGAGGAGUUCAGCUACACCCCAACUUUGUCAGCGUUUGAGGAAACGACGUUUGAGGCGUCUCAGGCUCCAGGAUUUGUCAUUGUAACAAAAUAAACAGUUGAGCUCUUUUCCAACCCUGCUCAUGUCUUCAUAUGCCACACCUGCAUUAAACGAUUUCCCACCGCACUCAGCCUCCCAGUAACAACGUCCAGUCAAACCUUCUCUUCACAACACCUGAGGAUAGUCGGCAAAUCUCUCGGUGUAGAUUCCGACGUUCCAUAUCCAGACAUUGCACAGUUCUCCUGUUUUUCUGUCUUCAAAGAAGGAAGGCAGGCCCGAGGAAGAGACCAGAGUUCAACAAAGCCAACAACUGCUUCAUGUGUGCCACUGAUAAAGAACCUGGAUGUGGCCCAAAGACUGACUGGGUUAGUAAGUAACAUAUGGCAUGCAAAACAUUCAAACGGUGGUUCCAUGUGCUGUGCCUAGGAAUGAAGACAAAAGAGUUCAACAGAGUAAAGAACACAAACUGGAAGUGCAGUCUUUGUUGUUGAAAAUGUAUGCUAUACCCCAUCCACACAGGCUCUGAAAUGUACAUCAACCAGGGAUAAAGAGAAAGUUAACACUGAAAUAUUUCGUACUUAUUUGAAGUAAAAUGUCUGUUCACAUGUUGGGAAAGAUUAAAGGUCUACAAUUUCUGUUUAGUUUGUUAAUAUAACAUUUUU
rnacentral:lncRNA from 1 species